AAUAGCUGGUUCUCCUCGAAAUAGCUUUAGGGCUAGCCUCACUAAAGAAAUGUACGCAGGUAGAGCACUGAAUUGGCUAGGGGGCCACAAAGCUUACCGAACCUUAUCAAACUUCGAAUGGCGUACAUGAAUGAGUGGGAGUCAGACAGUGGGAGCUAAGUUUCAUUGUCAAAAGGGAAACAGCCCAGAUCAUCAGCUAAGGUCCCAAAGUAUAGGUUAAGUGGCAAAGGAUGUGAGGAUGCUAAGACAACCAGGAUGUUGGCUUAGAAGCAGCCACUCAUUUAAAGAGUGCGUAAUAGCUCACUGGUCGAGUGAUCUUGCGCCGAAAAUGUCCGGGGCUAAACCUAUCACCGAAGCUAUGGAUUUACAUCGGAUGAUGUAAGUGGUAGAGGAGCAUCGUAUGCGGGCUGAAGUCGUACCGUAAGGAGCGAUGGACUGCAUAGGAGAGAGAAUGCUGGCAUGAGUAACGAGAGGGUGGUGAGAAUCCACCCCAUCGAAAGCCUAAGGUUUCCUGGGGAAGGUUCGUCCGCCCAGGGUAAGUCGGGGCCUAAGCCGAGGACUAGAUGGUCGUAGGCGAUGGACAACAGGUUGAUAUUCCUGUACUACCCGAAGCGUCUGAGAGAAGCAGUGACACAGAAGGAUAGGUCAAGCGGGUUGAUGGUAGAACCCGUCCAAGCAUUGAGGCUGUGUGGAUAGUAAAGUACGUCCGCAUAAAGCUGGGGUGUGAUGGGGACAGAACAUAAGUAUGGAAGUGACUGAAUUCACGCUGGCGAGAAAAGCUGCUAUCAAGCAGAAGGGUACCCGUACCGCAAACCGACACAGGUAGGCGAGGAGAGAAUCCUAAGAUGAGCGAGAUAACCCUUGUUAAGGAACUCGGCAAAAUGACUCCGUAACUUCGGGAGAAGGAGUGCCACGAAAGUGGUUGCAGUGAAUAGGCCCAUGCAACUGUUUAUCAAAAACACAGGUCUGUGCAAAAUCGAGAGAUGAUGUAUACGGGCUGACGCCUGCCCAGUGCUGGAAGGUUAAGGGGAACUGUUAGCGCAAGCGAAGCAGUGAACCGAAGCCCCAGUGAACGGCGGCCGUAACUAUAACGGUCCUAAGGUAGCGAAAUUCCUUGUCGGGUAAGUUCCGACCCGCACGAAAGGCGUAAUGAUUUGGGCGCUGUCUCAACAAGGGACUCGGUGAAAUUGUAGGGCUGGUAAAGAUGCCAGCGACCCGCGACUAGACGGAAAGACCCCGUAGAGCUUUACUGU
rnacentral:rRNA from 1 species